GUGAUGUAUAUUCUAUAAUCUUGUGAUGUAUAUUCAAUAUCUUGUGAUGUAUGUUCGAAGUCUUGUGAUGUAUAUUCAAUAUCUUGUGAUGUAUAUUCGAAAUCUUGUGAUGUAUAUUCUAUAAUCUUGUGAUGUAUGUUCGAAAUCUUGUGAUGUAUAUUCGAAAUCUUGUGAUGUAUGUUCGAUAAUCUUGUGAUGUAUGUUCGAAAUCUUGUGAUGUAUGUUCGAUAAUCUUGUGAUGUAUAUUCGAAAUCUUGUGAUGUGUGUUCUACAAUUCAGUGAUGCGUGCAAUAAAAGUGCAUGACGCAACAGAAAAGUAAGGACAAUUUUCAUUGGUUAGAAAUAACGAAAGUAGCCGGAGCGGUCGUAAUGCACACAUUGACACAACUUCGCAAGCAUGAAAUUGGCGAAUUCAACCUAAAGUCAAAAUUAUAGGAACUUUACGUAGGUCUACAGUUUUAAUUUUGGACUCAUGCACUAGGAAUAUCAUAUCAGCAGAAUUGUGCCACUGAAUCAAAGGGAACUCUUUUUUUUUAGGUACGCAUGAUCGAUGUAACUUCCUCGAUGGUGUGUUGGCUGUUUGCCCAUGUGUAUUUCGGGGUAUAGGAGUAGCCUCCCCUUUUAAAGAUCCAAAAUGGUGAUUUUACAGUGCGGCAUGCAGUCUGGUCAUCAACGAAGAGUUUUGACACCUGUAAUACCCAUAUUUCUACCAUUCACCUCUGUAACCUUUGUUGAGUUCAUCAGACUGUCCAAGACAGGAAGUUGAGGAAUAAAGUUGACAGGACAUCCUGAACUGUCCUCGCUACCAGCUUAUCAGGGAACCAGCUGCAGUGGACAAAGUACGUUACAUCAUAGGAUAAUAGCAUUGAAUUGGAUUCUUGAACCAGAGCCAUGUGAACCUGGUCCACCUGUACCUCUCAUUGAAGACCUGUUAACAUCACCAGAGUAUGUUCAUUCUGAUACCCCUAUGGUAUGGUUACAGCAUGCAUUAUCCCUGAAUCCAUUAAAAGAGCUGCAUUGGCAACGAAACAACCCAAUGUGGUCGAUUGUAAGGAAAUAUAGCAUAUCAGCUUCCAACUUUGGUGCAGUUCUCAGUUCUAAGCAAAGGCGAUUGACAUUGUCACUGAAGAAACAGCUGAUGUCGGCUUACAAUCUGGAGUCCAUCAAGGCUGUUGCAUGGGGUAUCACUCAUGAAGAUGAUGCUUUGAGAAAGUAUGAAAAAGGACUUUGAUGCAGCUGUAGAGCAGUCAGGAUAUGGUUGCAUGAAUCUGGAGUGUUGGGAGCUUCACCUGAUGGCUUAGUUGUUCGACCACCAACAUGCAGUGUAUUUUAUCAAACUCCAGAAGCCAAAGACGCCAUUCCUGAUAUUGUAGAGGUGAAGUGUCCAUACACAGCAUCGUCUUCAACAGUAGCAGAUGGGGCACAAAAUUUGAAGGAUUUUUCAUAGAUCUUAAACAAGAUACCCUGUGCCUGAAAACCAGUCACCCAUACUAUCAUCAAAUUCAAGGCCAGCUACACAUAUGUAACAAAACAUUCUGCGACUUAAUUGUGUGGACAAGAGUAGACUGCAUUGUGAUUAGAAUAGUAAAAGACAUUGAAUGGACAGCAAAUGUUCCAAAGCUGAUAGAUUUCUACAUUAACAUUUUCAUUCCAGCACUGAUGGAAAACUGAGUUCUAGUUUGAACUUCUUGACACUUAGUUUUGUACCUCUAGAAUUUUCUAACAAUGGAAAAUGGGUAAUCAUGUUAAAUGUGUUGAAUGUUCCUAAGUCUCAUAAAUGUAUGAUAUGAUAUGUCAUAAUCCAUCAUAAAACUUCUGGCUUAUAAGACUAUUUUAAAUAGCAAUGAUGAUUAAUAAAAUCUAUGUACUACAUAAAAAAAGAAUAUCAAAAUUUAGAAUCAUUUUAUUAAUGAAUUGAAGAUGUUAUUCUCAAAGUGAAAAUGUAACAUUUUUGUCUUUCUUAAUAGAUAAAUUGUUGAAAACAUGAA